rnacentral:lncRNA from 1 species
UUCCCCUGCACUUUGUUUCCCUUUCCCUCAAACCAUACUUUAAUUUUCAAAGACUCAAGUGUUAAUCAGUAAGUUGUUUAGCUGAGGCAACUUUUUAAACUCUAGAGCCUCUUUUUUUUUUUUAUAUUUGUCAAAUACUGAAAUCCUCUUAAAAAAAAUAAAAGCUGUAGCUUUACAACUUGCCUUGGACUGUGAAAUUGAACUCAACUGGAAGAUGAUGUUUACAUCGGUCUGGUAAAAAUAUAGUCCUUGUAGGCUGCUUACAUUACAGAAACCCUCUUACACUUUCGUUUUUUUACCAUGUUUUGCAACUGGAGAGGAGCCUGCAAAAGAGUUGCACAGUCUUGCUAGCUUGCUCAUUUUACUCAUGUGGACUGGUAGGUCAGAGCUGCCAAUAGACUAGACACUUUCAUCUGACUGUAUCACCUGGUUAGUGUCAGUGGCAUUUUAGUCUGAAUGGACUCACUGCCAGUGUUGAGUGGACCUCAUUUUUUUUCAUCUCCGUGCAAGUGACCUUGGAAAAUUUUCCAUUGGUUUCUUAUGGGAGCAGUGAGAAGAGCUGUGGAAGAGAGCACUCAAAUGCAAGCUGGUCCAAACAGCAGUAACGUGGAGAGGGACCCUGUAGUCUGCAUCUGUCCCGUCUUGGAAAGCGAAUUUACUGCUUCCCUUCUGCUCUCUGAAGACUUUAAGUAAAUUGAUAAGUACAAGGACAAAGGACCAUUGUCUGCCCAAACAUGACUGGAGCCAGUUGUGUUCUGCCCCCACGCACCGCGGUCUGUCUGCGUGGGACGCUGCAUUUGCUGUCACAAAGGAGAAAUGUGCUUUCAUUCAAAGGGCACGUCUGGCUGGUGCUGCUCUCUCUAUUUGUGUGUGAUGGUGACAGGUUAAAAGUCAGGGAUGGACCCUCUCUUCAGUCUACCUGCUCAAACCACAAUACUUCCGUGGAGAUAUUUUAAGGAGUGCAAAGUCCCUGUGCAAACGAGACAAGUAUGUUUUUCAUUCAGGAAUGUCUGCCUGUUGUUCCAGUCACUGUUCAAGAUUUCAAAGCUCUCUCUCAAAAGAGGAGUGGCAUUAUCCACUGUAGCUCAGUGCAUGGGGGAGGAAGGUUUGUUCCCAGAGACAGAGGAGGAAGCCACCCAGGUUUGAUGAGCUCCAGUCCCAGGACCUGGAUUCCUGAGCCCAUCACUUAAAGAAGGAUCACAGAGUAGGACCAAGAAGAAGUAACUGCGAUGUGCUGUCUGGCUUCCAGGUUAGUCUGUGCACUUGACUGAUGAAUAGCUCAGCAGUUCACGGUGACUGAGCCAUCAGUAUCACAUCUGUGAGGACAAUGUGCUGUGCUGGCUUGGGAGUGACAUGUUGUUUGGUUCAGUGACAUCUGUGAGACUUUGAAGCACCUUAUGCUUGCAAUUUGUCUUCCUUUUCCCUUUCAAAAUAGGUAAUGGAUGGCUUAAUCACCACCCCUUACAUGAGUUUUUCCCAGUUGAUUUGCUCAGUGUCUUGUAAGGUUUUGAGUAGUAAGAAUUUAGUCUUUUUCUUGGGAAGGAAGACACUUUCUUACUGCAAGUAAUAUCUUCCACAGCUAUUCUCAUCUACAUUAAUGCAGAUCCUUGCUUGUCAGCCUCAGCAAACUGCUAAUGGUAAUGCAUUCCCAAAAUUUAUUAUGAUAGAUAUACGUGUGCAUGAGUAUUUAAGUGUGUGGCUUUUUAUUUUCAGUCGUGUAUCAUGAGAGAGGUCACAUACAUUUCUUAUUUAGGGUGAUGAGAAUAAUGGUGCUACAAUAUUCUUAUAUUUCUUCUUCAGCCCUUUCUGAUGCAUUUUAAUGUCUUGUCUUUUCUUUGCAGCCAUGCAUGAAUGCUGAGAAAGCAUUCUGUUAUUGACACCCUAAGAAAAAUAGAAGUAUUCUUGUUGAAUGGUUGUCGUCCAGAAACAUCUUCCAAUACGUAUUUUUCAACUCUUACUUUGUCUGCUACCACAUUACUGAUUUUUUGCCCCUUUUUUAAGUUGUUUUUGUGCCAAAAUCUAAACAUUGC